UACGUAGGUGGCAAGCGUUGUCAGGAAUUAUUGGGCGUAAAGCGCGCGCAGGCGGUCCCUUAAGUCUGUUGUGAAAGCCCACGGCUCAACCGUGGAGGGUCAUUGGAAAAUGGGGAACUUGAGUGCAGAAGAGGAAAGUGGAAAUCCAAGUGUAUCGGUGAAAUGCGUAGAGAUUUGGAGGAACACCAGUGGCGAAGGCGACUUUCUGGUCUGUAACUGACACUGAGGCGCGAAAGCGUGGGGAGCGAACAGG
rnacentral:misc_RNA from 1 species